rnacentral:ncRNA from 2 species
AUACGCAAACGGUUUGCCGGUUAUGUCCUGUAACUGGUAAUUAAAAGGGAAUCGCGUGUGAAUCGCGAACUAUACCCGUAGCUGUGUGCUCCUCUCUAAUCGUUGGAUCAUAUUGGAUUGUAAACGAUUGAGAAACGAACUGAACAACCCUCAUGCCACUGGAAUUUCCGGGAAGGCGUUCAGGAUCGGGAGCGAGUCAGAAGACCUGCCGGAUGUGUGCAAUUUCC